AUGUAUACAGUUAGCAACUUUCUUACCAACGCAAUGGUCAUGGUCGUGGUCGCGGCAGCAGACGCCGAGGUCUUCACGGCGCCACCGCUCUCCUUCCACGUCUCCACCAAGUUCAGAGACAGUGCUGCAGUGGCGGACCCGUCACCGGCCUUAAGGUCCGUUAGCUUUCACGCCGGCCAUGCCAUGGUGGCCAACCUCGACGCAGGCUUUGUCUUCUUCGGCUGUGCGAUGGUGGAUGCCUUGCUCUCCCUCAAAAACACCAUGACGGCCACCGUAGACCCUUCCCUGCCCGCCGGCAUGGUUGCAAUCGCAGGCAUCACCUUCCCAUCCAGCCCGCACUCGCCGGCUGCCUCUCGCGACCCACUGCACAACUACAGGGUUCCUGCUUCCAUGAAAACGCAAUAUAAUUUAUAUUCACCAAGAAGCAACAGAAGUAAGAUCACUAUAUUAAAUCUUGAUGAACCAUUUAUGCCGAGAUACAUAUGGAGCAACACAUCUGUUAAAUUAAAUCUAGCAAUAUAG
rnacentral:rRNA from 1 species